ensembl:lncRNA
GGGGAGGAACCAUAUCGCAGCAAAAGAUGUUUGAGUGGAGUGUAACCUGUCUGGAAGACGCGGCACUCAGCCUGCCAGAGGGUGUUAAACCAACGCCUCUACCUGCAUCACUAACCAGACCAAAGAUACCAGAGCAGGCCCCGGGACAAAAGUGUGAUCGUUCGUCGCUCGUGUCCUGCAACCAUUCACUACCCACUCUUGAAUUAUGGAACUGGAAUAAAGGAGAAGAAAGCGAUGACGCAAUCAACCGAGUGCUGCGUUUCGAUUACGAUUCUGGAAGAGAAUUGUAAUUGAACAGAGUGGAUCCUCGACGUUCCAUAAUGGUGUUAACCUACGGAAUAGCUUGAUUGGCUUUAUUCAUUAAUGAGCAAAGGCUCUGGCAAAUUAAGGCAUUGUAAAAUAUUUCUUAUCAAAAUGUAUACAUAUAUAUAUAAUAUAUUAACUUCCUCUCAGGCAUUGUGUUUUGUGUUUUAUGCUAACUUACAAGGGCUACUGAUAUUAAAAGGUACCUUCUAAACUGCUACAGGUGGCCAUUGAAAUUAAUAGGACCAGAAUGGUGAGUUGUGUGAGCCUUUA